UACGUAGGGUGCGAGCGUUGUCCGGAAUUAUUGGGCGUAAAGGGCGCGUAGGCGGCCAUGCGUGUCUUCCGUGAAAUCCCUCGGCUUAACUGAGGACGUGCGGAAGAAACUGCAAGGCUUGAGUCCGGGAGAGGGGGGUGGAAUUCCCAGUGUAGCGGUGAAAUGCGUAGAUAUUGGGAGGAACACCGGUGGCGAAGGCGGCCCCCUGGACCGGUACUGACGCUGAGGCGCGAAAGCGUGGGUAGCAAACGGG
rnacentral:rRNA from 1 species